rnacentral:rRNA from 1 species
AUGAACGCUAGCUACAGGCUUAACACAUGCAAGUCGAGGGGCAUCAGGAAGAAAGCUUGCUUUCUUUGCUGGCGACCGGCGCACGGGUGAGUAACACGUAUCCAACCUGCCCUUUACUCGGGGAUAGCCUUUCGAAAGAAAGAUUAAUACCCGAUGGCAUAAUGAUUCCGCAUGGUUUCAUUAUUAAAGGAUUCCGGUAAAGGAUGGGGAUGCGUUCCAUUAGGUUGUUGGUGAGGUAACGGCUCACCAAGCCUUCGAUGGAUAGGGGUUCUGAGAGGAAGGUCCCCCACAUUGGAACUGAGACACGGUCCAAACUCCUACGGGAGGCAGCAGUGAGGAAUAUUGGUCAAUGGGCGCUAGCCUGAACCAGCCAAGUAGCGUGAAGGAUGAAGGCUCUAUGGGUCGUAAACUUCUUUUAUAUAAGAAUAAAGUGCAGUAUGUAUACUGUUUUGUAUGUAUUAUAUGAAUAAGGAUCGGCUAACUCCGUGCCAGCAGCCGCGGUAAUACGGAGGAUCCGAGCGUUAUCCGGAUUUAUUGGGUUUAAAGGGAGCGUAGGUGGACUGGUAAGUCAGUUGUGAAAGUUUGCGGCUCAACCGUAAAAUUGCAGUUGAUACUGUCAGUCUUGAGUACAGUAGAGGUGGGCGGAAUUCGUGGUGUAGCGGUGAAAUGCUUAGAUAUCACGAAGAACUCCGAUUGCGAAGGCAGCUCACUGGACUGCAACUGACACUGAUGCUCGAAAGUGUGGGUAUCAAACAGGAUUAGAUACCCUGGUAGUCCACACAGUAAACGAUGAAUACUCGCUGUUUGCGAUAUACAGUAAGCGGCCAAGCGAAAGCAUUAAGUAUUCCACCUGGGGAGUACGCCGGCAACGGUGAAACUCAAAGGAAUUGACGGGGGCCCGCACAAGCGGAGGAACAUGUGGUUUAAUUCGAUGAUACGCGAGGAACCUUACCCGGGCUUAAAUUGCAGUGGAAUGAUGUGGAAACAUGUCAGUGAGCAAUCACCGCUGUGAAGGUGCCGCAUGGUUGUCGUCAGCUCGUGCCGUGAGGUGUCGGCUUAAGUGCCAUAACGAGCGCAACCCUUAUCUUUAGUUACUAACAGGUCAUGCUGAGGACUCUAGAGAGACUGCCGUCGUAAGAUGUGAGGAAGGUGGGGAUGACGUCAAAUCAGCACGGCCCUUACGUCCGGGGCUACACACGUGUUACAAUGGGGGGUACAGAAGGCAGCUAGCGGGUGACCGUAUGCUAAUCCCAAAAUCCUCUCUCAGUUCGGAUCGAAGUCUGCAACCCGACUUCGUGAAGCUGGAUUCGCUAGUAAUCGCGCAUCAGCCACGGCGCGGUGAAUACGUUCCCGGGCCUUGUACACACCGCCCGUCAAGCCAUGGGAGCCGGGGGUACCUGAAGUACGUAACCGCAAGGAUCGUCCUAGGGUAAAACUGGUGACUGGGGCU